AGAACUCUGGAGAAUCCCUUUUUUUAAAGGGUGCCGAAGGUGCAAGGUGUGUUCCACUAAUCUCUCAGGCCAAAGGACAGAGCG
rnacentral:ncRNA from 1 species